rnacentral:rRNA from 1 species
CUCUCGGGUGACGAGCGGCGGACGGGUGAGUAAUGUCUGGGAAACUGCCUGAUGGAGGGGGAUAACUACUGGAAACGGUAGCUAAUACCGCAUAACGUCGCAAGACCAAAGUGGGGGACCUUCGGGCCUCAUGCCAUCAGAUGUGCCCAGAUGGGAUUAGCUAGUAGGUGGGGUAACGGCUCACCUAGGCGACGAUCCCUAGCUGGUCUGAGAGGAUGACCAGCCACACUGGAACUGAGACACGGUCCAGACUCCUACGGGAGGCAGCAGUGGGGAAUAUUGCACAAUGGGCGCAAGCCUGAUGCAGCCAUGCCGCGUGUGUGAAGAAGGCCUUCGGGUUGUAAAGCACUUUCAGCGGGGAGGAAGGCGUUAAGGUUAAUAACCUUGGCGAUUGACGUUACCCGCAGAAGAAGCACCGGCUAACUCCGUGCCAGCAGCCGCGGUAAUACGGAGGGUGCAAGCGUUAAUCGGAAUUACUGGGCG